GCAGAAACAUGUUAUUGAAAGUGAAGCAACUGAAGUAGUUGAAUUGCCAAGGUUACAAAAGGUGUAACCAACCUGCAUGCUGCUUCUCCACCAAAGGUGUAACCAACCUGCAUGCUCAAUGGCUAGCACGACUGUGAAGCAACUGAAGUAGUUGAAUUGCCAAUAUUACAAGCAAAAAGCUGCUAAAAAAGUGGCAUUGGAGUCUCUGAACAACGCCCCACAGGCAUCAUAACCAGGAGAACCAACAAUCACACAUGUGUUGCAUUACAUGUACGCGUAUAUCUGUUUGGAGUCUUGGUUCUAACUUUUGCCCGAUAAGCUCCUGUUGGCAAUCAGUGUUUUCUCUUCUGACAUUUCGUCUUAAAAUUUAACAUAAGUAAUUCAUGUGAUAAUCUUACAUAAAGUGUCAAACGAAAAAGAUUACAAAUAGGUACACAUUCAAAUAGUUAAAUACCAAGUCCGAGUAUUAAGGGACUCGUACAUCUUAAACAAGUGGCCAAAGAUUCAAUAUCUAGCUCUUAUGUAUGCUAAACGGUAGUAUAUGCUUCGUACCUCUCAAUAAUAUUUGGAUUCAAAAUUGCUCUCCAUGUUAUACAAGAGACACCAACUGGCCAAUUGAAACAUUCCUGCCUUUUCAAAGUUCAGAAUGAACCCCAAUUUUUAAUUAUAAGGCGAGGUUAAAUUGCAGUAUUAAUCGAUGGACUUGUUGGGAUGGUAUCAUAAGCCACUGUCACGGCGAAUGGGAUAUCAGAGUAUCCAUAUGAGUAGAUGAAGAUAAAUAAUAAAGCACUAGCAUGAUGACUUCCAAUUCUUUAUAAUCUUCCUGCAAUGCAAAACAGAAUGCUGAAAUAAUUUAAAUUAC
rnacentral:lncRNA from 1 species